rnacentral:rRNA from 1 species
AUGGCGAACUGCUUCCGGAGGCCGUCGACGACGGUGCCUGCGGCUCCUAGGAGCGACGACGAGAUCCUCCAUCCAGCCAACCUCAGGAGUUUCACCUUUAAGGACCUCAAGAAGGCCACAAGGAACUUCCGGCCGGAUAGCAUGCUCGGUGAGGGCGGCUUCGGAUCAGUGUUCAAAGGGUGGGUUGACGAGGCCUCCUUCGCCCCGGCAAGCCCUGGCACUGGCAUGCCCAUCGCCAUCAAGAAGCUCAACCAGGAAAGCUUCCAGAUCCACAAGGAAUGGCUGGAUGAAGCGAGUCACCUAGGCCGAUUGUCGCACCCCAAUCUGGUAAAGCAGCUAGGGUACUGCCUCGAAGACGAGCAGCACCUGCUCGUCUAUGAGUUCAUGCCACAAGGAAGCUUGGAGAGCCAUCUUUACAGGAGGGCCUCGCAUCUCCAGCCACUGUCAUGGGAUUUGAGGAUGAAGGUUGCUCUUGGGGCAGCCAAAGGGCUGGCAUUCCUCCACAGCGACAAGGCCAAUGUCAUCUACGGUGAUUUCAAGACGUCAGACAUUCUUCUUGAUUCGAGCUACAAUGCAAAGCUGUCUGAUUUUGGGAAGCGAAAGGAAGAACCAACCGUUGAUCCGGGCUUUUAUAUUGAUGAAUUGCCAAGCUACUAUGCAAAAAGGCUGUCUGAUCUUGGGUUGUCGACCGAGGACCCGACGGCAGAGAGCAACGUGUACAGUUUCGGGGUGGUGCUCUUGGAGAUACUGGCAGGCAGGCGCCGACUGGACAGGAACCGGCCAUCCGGUGAGCAAGACCUGGUGGAGUGGGCGCGACCGCACCUGAGGAGCAAGCGCCAGAUCUCCCAAAUCCUGGACGCGCGGCUGGGCGGUCAGUACUCCCUCUCCGGCGCACAGAAGGCCGCCGCGCUGGCGCUCAAGUGCCUCUCUUGUAACAUGAGUGUCCGGCCGAGCAUGGAGCAGGUGGUUGCGGCACUGGAGCAGCUCCAGGACACCAAGGAGGCCGCAGUGAGUGAUCAGGGGAAGGCGAAUGGCGGUGGCGCCUGCGGCUUUCUCAGGAAGUUUGGUGGUAGCCGGCAGCUGCAACCGUAG